rnacentral:rRNA from 1 species
UCCCCUAGUAACUGCGAGUGAAGCGGGAAAAGCUCAAAUUUAAAAUCUGGUAGUCUCUGGCUGCCCGAGUUGUAAUCUGGAGAAGUGUUUUCUGUGCUGGGCCGUGUACAAGUCUCUUGGAAUAGAGCGUCAUAGAGGGUGAGAAUCCCGUCUUUGACACGGACAUCCAGUGCUCUGUGAUGCACUCUCAAAGAGUCGAGUUGUUUGGGAAUGCAGCUCAAAAUGGGUGGUAAAUUCCAUCUAAAGCUAAAUAUUGGCAAGAGACCGAUAGCGAACAAGUACCGUGAGGGAAAGAUGAAAAGAACUUUGGAAAGAGAGUUAAACAGUACGUGAAAUUGUUGAAAGGGAAACGCUUGAAGUCAGUCGCGUCUAGCAAGGAUCAGCCCUUCUCGGAGGGUGUAUUUCUUGCUUGACGGGUCAACAUCAAUUUUGAYUACUGGAAAAAGGCCAGAGGAAGGUGGCACCUUCGGGUGUGUUAUAGCCUUUGGUCAUAUACAGUAGUUGGGAUUGAGGAAUUCAGCAUGCCUUCAUGGCUGGGGUUCGCCCACAUUCAUGCUUAGGAUGUUGGCAUAAUGGCUUUAAGCGACCCGUCUUGAAACACGGACCAAGGAGUCUAACAUACC